AAGCACAAUAACGGCCUGUGAUACACGUGGGAGUCUACAUGUGCUCAGUUGGGCUGCCUACAGGUGAGCCUGCUGUCUCACAAGCCAGUCAUCCCGAUAGUCCAUACAUGCUGGUCGCGGGCAAGAUGGAGCCUAUCCCAGCUGACUAUGAGCAAGAGGCGGAGUACACCCUGGAAAAGUCGUCAAAUCAUCACAGGGCUGUCACAUAGAGACAAACAACCAUUCACAUUCACAUUCACACCUACGGUCAAUCUAGAGCCACCAAUUAGCUUAACCUGCAUGUCUUCUGACUGCGGGGGAAACCAGAGCACCCAGAGGGAACCCAUGCAGACACAAGAAGAACACGCGUACUCCACACAGAAAGGCCCCAGUCAGCCAGUGGGCUCAUAACCCAGAACCUUCUUGCUGUGAAGCGAUAGUGCUAACCACUACACCACCAUGCUACCCUUGUUUCAUUGUGUUAGACAAACUAAUAUCUUCUGCAUAGUCAAGAUCUGUCAUUGCCACUGCUGGAUAUCUAGAGGAACAUCUAGGUGUGAUGGUAAACCCUAGAUCGACUUCUUGAUUACUGAUAGCAUUAUGUAGAGCAUAAUCAAGAACAAUAAUGAAGAGGUACGGUACAAAGGUAUUGCCUUGCAACACACCAGCUUUGAUCUCAAAUUCAUCUGUGAGUCCAUCUGGAGAGAGGACUCUUGCAUGAGUGUCUGUGUACAUCAUUUCGAUUGUACUGAGGAGACGUGGUGGAAUGUCAUAGGCUUUGAGGAUCCGACACCUCUGCGGAUACUAUCAAACACUUUCUUGAAAUCAAUGAAACAGAGGACAGCAGACUUGUUCUUUUUUGUUUCCUCAAUAAUUCUACGGAGUGCUAUAAUUUGAGAGAGCGUUGAAUGGCUUUUCCGAAAACCAUUUUGAUUAAAUCUUAAGUGAGAGUCAAGCGUUUCUCUGAUGCAGUUUAGGACCAUGCAAUUCAUUAGCUUGGAGAUAAUACAAGUUAGACUUAUUCCUCUAUAUUUGUCUGUUAAAGAGAAAUCACCUAAUUUUGAGACAGGUUGUAUGUUUAAUAAUGAUCAUUGUUUAGGUUUUAGUCCAGCCACUGGGGGUGCAUAAGCGUACUCUUGGUGCCAGUCUGAAGCCCGGAUAAAUUGGAGAGGGUUGUGUCAGGAAGGGCAUCUGGCGUAAAACUGUGCCAAAUCUAACAUGCAGAUUGAAAAGAGAAAUACCAUACAGGAUUGGUUGGGGCCCGGGUUAACAACGACCGCCUCCGGUACUGUUGGUCAACAGGGUGCCGGUGGAAAGUAUGCUACUGUUGUGUCAAAACGGAGAAGGAGAUAGAGAGGGGGGAGGCGUGUUAGGAGAGAGCAUGAAAGAUGGAAGGGAAGGAGCUUAGAAUUGAGGGUAGGAACACUGAAUGUGGGAACAUUGACUGGCAGAGUGAGAGAGUUAGCAGGUAUGAUGGAAAGAAGGAAGUUGGACAUUUUGUGUGUGCAGGAAACGAGGUGGAAAGGAAGCAAGGCCAAGAACAUUGGAGGUGGAUGCAAGUUGUUUUAUUAUGGAGUCAAUGGAAAGAGAAAUGGUGUUAGUUUUGAGGGGAGAGUUGGUCAGCAGUGUGAUUGAUGUGAAGAGGGUGUCAGAUAGAGUGAUAGGCGUGAAGUUGGAGAUUCAAGGAGUGGUAAUCAAUGUUGUGGGUGCGUACGCCCCACAGGUUGGAUGUGAAAAUGAAGAGAAAGAGUCUUUCUGGGAAAAGAUGGAUGAAGUGGUAGAAAGUAUACCGAGGGAGGAGCAGAUUUCAAUGGACAUGUUGGUGAGGGAAACAGAGGAAAUGAGGAUGUGAUGGGCAGAUAUGGUGUAAGAGAGAGAAAUGUGGAAGGGCAAAUGGUGGUUGAUUUUUCAAAGAGGAUGAAUUUGGCAAUUGUCAAUACAUACUUUAAGAAGAAAGAGCAGCACAGGGUGACAUUUAAGAGUGGAGGAAGAUCUACACAGAUGGACUACAUACUCUGCAGAAGGGGUAACCUGAAGGAGAUUGGAGACUGUAAAGUGAUGGCAGGGGAGAGUGUAGCUAGACAACAUCGAGUGGUCGUGUGCAGGAUGAGCUUGAAAAUGAAAAAGAGGAAGUGUGAAAUAGUGGGGCUGAAGAUUAAGUGAUGGAAACUAAGAGGUCGAACAUCAGAAGGAGUUUAGGGAAGAAAUGAGACGAGCAUUGAGUGGUAAUGGAAGUCUGCCAGAAGAUUGGGAUACUGCUGCUAUACAAAUAAGAGAGGCAGCAAGGAAGGUGCUAGGAUGGUCACUGGGAAGGAGAAAGGAAGACAAGGAGACAUGGUGGUGGAACAAAGAAGUGCAGGAAAUUAUAAAAGAGAAGAGGCUAGCAAAGAAGAAUCGGGACGAUCAGAGAGACGAGGAAAGCAGGCGGUUAUACAGAGAGACAAGACAGAAGGCAAAACGAGCGGUAGUGAAGGUGAAAGCAGAUGCAUACCAGGAGUUGUACGAAAGACUGGAGACCAAAGAAGGAGAGAAAGACCUGUACAGACUAGCUAGGCAGAGAAACAGGGAAGUGAGGGAUGUACAGCAGGUAAGAGUGAUGAAAGAUGUAAAUGGAUAUGUACUGACAAACAAAGCGAGUGUAUUAAGAAGGUGGAAAGAGUACUUUGAGGAUUUAUUAAAUGAGGAGAAUCCAAGAGAGAAAAGGCCAGAUUCGUUGGAGACAGCAAAUCAGGAAGCAGAGUUGGUUAGUAAGGAUGAGGUGAGGGCAGCCAUGAAAAGAAUGAAGACUGGGAAAGCAGUCGGACCAGAUGGUAUCCCGAUUGAGGCUUGGAGAUGUUUGGGUGAGAUGGCUGUGGAGUUCCUAACGAGAUUGUUUAAUAAGAAUGAGAAAAUGCCAAAUGAAUGGAGAGCAUACUAGUCCCAAUAUACAAGAAUAAGGGAGAUGUACAGAGCUGCAGUAAUUACAGAGGGAUAAAAUUGAUGAGACACACCAUGAAGCUAUGGGAAAGGGUAUUGGAGGCGAGAUCGAGAAGAGAGGUAGCAAUCUGUGAACAGCAGUAUGGGUUUAUGCCAAGGAAAAGCACGUCGGAUACAAUUUUUGCUUUAAGAAUGUUAAUAGAGAAGUACAGGGAAGGCCAGAGAAAGCUACAUUGUGUGUUUGUAGACCUGAAGAAGGCAUGCGAUAGAGUGCCGAGAGAUGAGUUAUGGUAUUGUAUGAGAAAGUGUGGAGUGAAUGAGAAGUAUAUUAGAGUGGUGCAAGACAUGUAUGAGAACAGUGAAACAGCAGUGAGGUGUGCAGUUGGAAUGACUGAAUGGCUCAAGGUGAAGGUGGGACUUCAUCAAGGAUCUGCUUUGAGUCCUUUCUUGUUUGCCACAGUGAUGGAUAGCUUGAUGGACGAAGUGAGGCAAGAGUCAUUAUGGAACAUGAUGUUUGCAGAUGAUAUAUGUGGUGAAAGUAGAAAGGAGGUUGAGUUGGGUUUGGAGAGAUGGAGGUAUGCAUUUGAAUGAAGAGGAAUGAAGGUGAGCAGUAGCAAAACAGAAUACAUGUGCAUCAAUGAGAAUGGGGAUGAGAGUGUAGUGAAGAUGCAAGGAGUAGAUGUAAACAAAGUUGGUGAAUACAAGUACCUGGGGUCAACUGUGCAGGAAAAUGGAGGCUGUAAUAGUGAGGUGAGAAAGAGAGUGCAGGCAGGGUGGAGCAGUUGGAGAAGGAUUUCGGGAGUCAUUUGUGAUAGGAAAGUCCUAGCAAAAGUGAAAGAUAAGAUGUAUAAGACAGUAGUGAGACCAGCUAUGAUGUAUGGAUUGGAGACCGUACCCUUAACGAAGGGACAGGAGGCAAAGUUGGAGGUGGCGGAGUUGAGGAUGUUAAGGUUUGCGAUGGGGGUGACAAGGUUGGACAGGAUAAGGAACGAGCACAUCAGAGGGACAGCACAUGUGGAGAGUUUGGGAAUUAAGCUAAGAGAGAUGAGACUGAGAUGGUAUGGGCACAUCCCGAGAAGAGAUGCAGAGCAUGUGGGAAGGAGAAUGUUGAGGAUGGAGCUGCCAGGCAAACGAAAACGAGGAAGGCCAAAGAGGAGAUACAUGGAUGUGGUGAAAGAGGAAAUAAAAGUGGCAGGUGUGGUAGAGAAGGAUGGGGAAGACAGGGAGCAAUGGAGGUGAAAGAUCCGCUGUGGCGACCCCUAAUUGGGAGCAGCCAAAAGAAGAAGCUUAGGUUUUAGUCCAUUCAUUAAAGCGUUGUUGCAAAACUCCAAAAUAAUGUUAUCAAAAUCAAAGUUGUUCAUUACUUCUGGUAGUAUACCAUCAGGUCCUGUACUCUUUCUGUUCUUUAAUUUUCUUUUUACUUUUUGAAGCUCAUCGUUUGUAAAUGGACCAUCUUCGAUAUUUAGAUCAUUAAUUACUGUUGAAAUGCUUUCAUUUUCAUUGUCCACUGUUGGUGCUUUCCUGAGCUAAAUGGUUAAACCAAGAUUUUACCCUUUCUUGUGCACUGGCUUCACAGAUUUGUCCUUUCUUAGUUUUCUUAUGCCUUGUCAUUUCAUAGCUCAUGCGGCAAG